ACUAACAGAGAGACACAUGGCAGACAACCACACCUAACGGCAAACUGAAAUCACUAAUUAAAGGGAUAAAUCAGUGUUUUCAAGUUGAGGUUCGAGUAAAAACUGGCAGCAUUGUCACCUUACUGCAGAAAGGUAGACUUCAUAGUGGAUGCUGUGAUGGUGAGCUGGUCAGGUCCUGGUGAAGCAAAGUAUCCCCAAACCAUGACACUUCCUGCUCUAUUCUCCCAGUUGGUAUGCUGGAGCUCCUCCCUGCUGGCCUGCUGCAGCCUCCCACAGCUUGAAGCCAGCCAGCAGCCACAGCUGCCUCCAAUCUGGAGAGACGGAAAAAUUCAGAUGCCCAAGAUGAGAGGAGGGCUGAGUCUGAAGAUAGUUUUAAGGAUUGGAGUGUGUUUUAAGGCAUGAGCAGGUGACAAAAUGCAAUACCUGCCUCUUACCUUUAUGAUCUUUCAGUACUUCUUGAUGUGUGCUAAAUUUAUGGAAAUCUGCUUUAAUUUGGUGCAUUUUUAUA